GCGCCACUAGCUCAGCUGGAUAGAGCGUCGGCCUCCGGAGCCGAAGGUCGCAGGUUCGAAUCUUGCGUGGCGCG
rnacentral:tRNA from 1 species